GUGCCACCGCGCGCACAGCCUGACUCCCCUUUGAGCCACAUCCCCAGCAGUGCGUUUUCCUGAGUGUUGAUUGCCGUCUGAUUGUUCAGCUACAUAUACCCCAAAGGCUCUUUUAAGAGCCACAUAACGAGAGCGUCUUUGGCUUUUGGCACCUACAUACAACCCAAAGGCUCUUUUCAGAGCCACAUCGCCCAGCGUCCUUGGCUUUCAACUACAUACACCCCAAAAGCUCUUUUCAGAGCUACUCGCCCACCAUCACCCAGCAUUCAAGGCACAUCUAUCCUCAGUCAUCAGCGGGCCACCAUGAGAGUUUUUCCAGUGACACCAACUCCUGGUCCAUCCAAACCGACAAUCCCAAAUUUCAUGAGGAAUCCAUAAACGACAAUCAAGAAGUUCUUGGAAGUGCUUAGAAGGGGGAAAAAGUAAACAUUAACUUUCUUGAGAACUAGAAAUAUACAUUUACUGAUAGAACUUCACAUGUCAACAAAAACUGUCAAUAGGACCAC
ensembl:lncRNA